GCCAGGACGAUUUCGUGUCCAUUUCCUGAACCUCAAGCUUGUCUGGCACAGCAAUUUGUAUAACAACAGUUCUUGGUCACCCAGCAUCUUCCCUCACCUGUGAAAAAAUUAACUUUUCUUCCUAUCGCAGCCACCUGUACGUGUGUGCGUGUAUGUACAGGGGGAGCACAAGCACCAGCUCCUUCCCCCUGCUAGCCUAAACUACUUUGUUCCUGAACUGUCACAUGUUAUGAAUCCACUGUACAACUUGCCAAAAAUAAACAAAAUUACAGGCAUGAAAGAAAAAGUAUUAGGUAGGUUUGUCAGGACAAUAUAUGUUCCAUGUAGUCAGGACAGGUGAGACCAGGCAAAGUUUUAUUCACUUAGCAGAGUUUUCCAGCAGCACCCACCAGCUCUCCUGCUCAUGAAUUCCUGGGGUCCUCUUCUUCUGCCCCAGGGUGCUUGGCACAUACCACCCCACCCGGGAGGCACCAACACCCUGGGACAGGGCACAGAUCUCGUGUAUUUUCAGAUAUUUUGAAAUUGUUUUCACAGACAGAGUGAGCCUGAUGAGACCCAGGAAGCACUCUUCGGACAUUGCCAGGCUUCUUGAGAGGACCAGCACUGGGAAGUGUGGACCUACAGCCCUGAACAACGGCUGUCCAGAAACUUGGGGGAAUCACCUAGAUUUGGCCAUAAGCUGCCAACGUCCAAGACCCCAUGGCUUAUGGUCGCAAACUGCUCGGAAAUCUUUAAUGCUGAUCCAGGAGAAAAGCUUUCCAACCUGUGGCAGAACUGCGCUGAGGACCAACUCUUUGACUUUGUAUUUUCCAAGGGGUAACUUGGUCCCUGUCCAGUGGAAGCCGUGCUUAGGCCAUGUGUCACGGGCAGGUGUUAUUCCCUCCCCUCUGUGCUGCUCUGGGCACCUCAGGGUCUGGCAAAGAGUGUGAUUAUACAAACAGUAGGAUUUACAAAGGCUGCUGCUCAGGAGUACCUACUGCCCAGAUUAAGCAAGCUUUACAUUUCUGUUGCUUUCGGCCUGCAACAGCUGUUGACGGCACGAAAAAUAUGCUAACCACCAGUUGUACGCAGUCAAGCUGGGACUGCGUAUCAGUUUGUUGCACGAGGCUCUUCGCCUGAAGUGUCUUUGACUUCUGCCCAGCUUCUGGAAGCUUUAGGACUGGGAGAACAAACCAGUCAAGAUCACCAUCUAUUAAACGAAGCGUGUAUAAAACCUGGGUGGAGAGACAUCCAUUCAGGUCAGACACCUUCCCCUUGGACUGUGGCAGAGGCAGGAUCUGUGACGAAAUAUGACAUACAUAAGUCCAUGAAAAUACACAAGCCCAUAAAAAAUGGCAUACGUGAGUCCAUGGGGCCAGAUGGGGUCCACCCAAGGGUACCGAGGGAGCUGGUGGAGGUGCUCACCAAGCCCGUUUCCAUCACCUGUCAGCAGUCCAGGAUGACUGGGGAAGUUCCACUUGACUGGAGAUUGGCAAAUGUGACACCUGUUUACAAGAAGGG